rnacentral:tRNA from 1 species
AGGAUAUUAAUUAAAAUAAUAAAUAAUAUUUAAAUUGCAAUUAAAAAUUAAUAUAACAUAUUAUAUCUUA